rnacentral:lncRNA from 1 species
CUUCCCUCCUUCUUUUCUUUCUUUUCUCACAGCUAGGAAGUGUUAAGUAUCUGAGAUCAGAUUUGAACUCAGGUCCUCCUGACUUCAAGGCUGGUGCUCCAUCCACUGCAUCAUCCGGCUGCCCCCUACAGCUUUUUUCAUCACAGCGUUUUAACUCAUUCAUAAAUCCCCCAGCCCAUACCAAGACACCGUAAGUUUUGCCUAAAACCGAUUUCUCUCCAAGGUUAUACAACAACCAGAUUACCAAUGUUGGAGCCAAAUACGUUGCUAAGAUUGUGGAGGAGUGCACAAACCUCACACACCUGAAACUGGGCUCAAACUACAUAACGAGCGAAGGAGGAAAGUGCCUGGCUUUGGCGGUCAAGAAGAGCAAGUCGAUCAUGGACGUUGGAGCCCCUGAGUCUCCAGAUCAAGUUUAUGGAAGGACAAAGCACUUUACAUCUAUUUUCUUAUCUGCCCUCAGCCGCCACCUCGGUGACUUACCUAGAGCCACGCAGCUAAUAAAUAUCUGGGGCUGGAUUUGAAUUCAGUCCUUCUCCAAGUCUAGCCCUCCACCCACAUGCCGCCCAGCCCCCUGGAACUGCCUGUUAGAAGCUCGGGCUCCACCUCCCCCGGGGAAGAACUCCUGAAACGUCCCCCGGACAAGCGCGCUCUCUUCCAAUUCCUCCUGGACUCCCGGGCCCUCGGCUGGGGGGGUUAUUUGUGCCCAUAUCCUUCCUGCAGUGCCCCCUGAGGGUGGGCCGGGCAGCCUGGUCUCCACAUGCCUCCUGCCCAGCCCACAGGCCUCCGGGACACGGGGGAAGCUUCUCUCUCCAUCCCCUGAGUUCCCCUUUGUGCCAAGUGAGACGGCUUGGGGUCUCUGGUCCGCUGUCU